rnacentral:lncRNA from 1 species
GGGCAGAGGAGGGCGGCGGCAUCCGGCGCGGAGGGCGGCGAAGGACGGUGGUUCUGCGGCGGCGAUGGCGGGGCGAUGGAGACGGCCCCGAGAGGGUGCGUCGGCGGCGGCAAACGGCGCGUGCGCGACGGCGACACAUCCGUCGACGACGGCGGCCGAAGGGGAGGGAAAGGGGAAAGGGAUGCUCACCGGCGGCGCGAAGGGCGGCAGCAAGUCGGCGCCGAACGGGGAUGGGUGAUGAC